GAUGGAGGGAAUGGAAGGCGAUGAAGAAGGAAGGCGACAAAGAAAGAGACAGGCAGACAGGGAUGGUCCUUUUGACCUUCGUGCAAUUCAAGCGAAUCACUUUUUUCUGUGGAAUUCAAUGUCUUCCUUUUCUUU
rnacentral:ribozyme from 1 species